AGAACUACCUUAUACGGCAGUAUCAUCAUGGCUUCUUUAUAUGAGGAAGCUGAGCUCGGAGAUCCAGUCAUCCAAGAGAUGGCUCCUGAGAUACAUCUCAACAAGCUGCGUGAAAAACAAGAACUUGAUAGUCCAGCUGUUACCAAAUGGGAAACUUCCUAUUAUUCCAAG